UGCCAGCAGCCGCGGUAAUACGGAGGGUGCAAGCGUUGUUCGGAAUUACUGGGCGUAAAGCGCGCGUAGGCGGCUUUUUAAGUCAGAUGUGAAAGUCCACGGCUCAACCGUGGAAGUGCAUUUGAAACUGGGAGGCUUGAGUAUUGGAGGGGGUGGUGGAAUUCCCGGUGUAGAGGUGAAAUUCGUAGAUAUCGGGAGGAAUACCGGUGGCGAAGGCGACCACCUGGUACAGUAUUGACGCUGAGGUGCGAAAGCGUGGGUAGCAAACAGGAUUAGAUA
rnacentral:rRNA from 1 species